UACGUAGGGAGCAAGCGUUGUCCGGAAUCAUUGGGCGUAAAGCGCGCGUAGGCGGCCCGGUAAGUCCGCUGUAAAAGUCCAGGGCUCAACCCUGGAAAGCCGGUGGAUACUGUCGGGCUAGAGUCCGGAAGAGGCGAGUGGAAUUCCUGGUGUAGCGGUGGAAUGCGCAGAUAUCAGGAAGAACACCAAUGGCGAAGGCAGCUCUCUGGGACGGUACUGACGCUGAGACGCGAAAGCGUGGGGAGCGAACAGG
rnacentral:rRNA from 1 species